rnacentral:rRNA from 1 species
GAUGAACGCUGGCGGCGUGCCUAAUACAUGCAAGUCGAGCGAACAGAUGAGGAGCUUGCUCCUCUGACGUUAGCGGCGGACGGGUGAGUAACACGUGGAUAACCUACCUAUAAGACUGGGAUAACUUCGGGAAACCGGAGCUAAUACCGGAUAAUAUAUUGAACCGCAUGGUUCAAUAGUGAAAGACGGUUUUGCUGUCACUUAUAGAUGGAUCCGCGCCGCAUUAGCUAGUUGGUAAGGUAACGGCUUACCAAGGCGACGAUGCGUAGCCGACCUGAGAGGGUGAUCGGCCACACUGGAACUGGGACACGGUCCAGACUCCUACGGGAGGCAGCAGUAGGGAAUCUUCCGCAAUGGGCGAAAGCCUGACGGAGCAACGCCGCGUGAGUGAUGAAGGUCUUCGGAUCGUAAAACUCUGUUAUUAGGGAAGAACAAAUGUGUAAGUAACUAUGCACGUCUUGACGGUACCUAAUCAGAAAGCCACGGCUAACUACGUG